AGUUCCUUGAACCGCAUGGUUCAAGGAUGAAAGACGGUUUCGGCUGUCACUUACAGAUGGACCCGCGGCGCAUUAGCUAGUUGGUGGGGUAAUGGCUCACCAAGGCGACGAUGCGUAGCCGACCUGAGAGGGUGAUCGGCCACACUGGGACUGAGACACGGCCCAGACUCCUACGGGAGGCAGCAGUAGGGAAUCUUCCGCAAUGGACGAAAGUCUGACGGAGCAACGCCGCGUGAGUGAUGAAGGUUUUCGGAUCGUAAAGCUCUGUUGUUAGGGAAGAACAAGUGCGAGAGUAACUGCUCGCACCUUGACGGUACCUAACCAGAAAGCCACGGCUAACUACGUGCCAGCAGCCGCGGUAAUACGUAGGUGGCAAGCGUUGUCCGGAAUUAUUGGGCGUAAAGGGCUCGCAGGCGGUUUCUUAAGUCUGAUGUGAAAGCCCCCGGCUCAACCGGGGAGGGUCAUUGGAAACUGGGAAACUUGAGUGCAGAAGAGGAGAGUGGAAUUCCACGUGUAGCGGUGAAAUGCGUAGAGAUGUGGAGGAACACCAGUGGCGAAGGCGACUCUCUGGUCUGUAACUGACGCUGAGGAGCGAAAGCGUGGGGAGCGAACAGGAUUAGAUACCCUGGUAGUCCACGCCGUAAACGAUGAGUGCUAAGUGUUAGGGGGUUUCCGCCCCUUAGUGCUGCAGCUAACGCAUUAAGCACUCCGCCUGGGGAGUACGGUCGCAAGACUGAAACUCAAAGGAAUUGACGGGGGCCCGCACAAGCGGUGGAGCAUGUGGUUUAAUUCGAAGCAACGCGAAGAACCUUACCAGGUCUUGACAUCCUCUGACAACCCUAGAGAUAGGGCUUUCCCUUCGGGGACAGAGUGACAGGUGGUGCAUGGUUGUCGUCAGCUCGUGUCGUGAGAUGUUGGGUUAAGUCCCGCAACGAGCGCAACCCUUGAUCUUAGUUGCCAGCAUUCAGUUGGGCACUCUAAGGUGACUGCCGGUGACAAACCGGAGGAAGGUGGGGAUGACGUCAAAUCAUCAUGCCCCUUAUGACCUGGGCUACACACGUGCUACAAUGGACAGA
rnacentral:rRNA from 1 species